UACGGAGGGUGCGAGCGUUGUCCGGAAUCACUGGGCGUAAAGGGCGCGUAGGUGGCUUGGCAAGCGUGUGGUGAAAGCCCGGGGCUCAACCCCGGGUCUGCCGUGCGAACUGCUAUGGCUUGAGCACUGUAGAGGCAGGUAGAAUUCCGGGUGUAGCGGUGGAAUGCGUAGAGAUCCGGAAGAAUACCGGUGGCGAAGGCGGCCUGCUGGGCAGUGGCUGACACUGAGGCGCGAAAGCCAGGGGAGCAAAUGGG
rnacentral:rRNA from 1 species